ACCUUUCCCUCCCUCCCUCUCUCUCUCUCUCGCUCUCUCUCUCUCUCUCUCUCUCUCUCUCUACAACUUGGAGCAGAUCUAGUUUGGAUUUCCUUUAGCCUUUCCCCCUUCACUCGUUUUUAGGGUUUUGAAUAUGGCUUGGAGCAAAUCUAGUUGAGGCCGAAGCAUUUGGUGGAGGGUUUCUUGUAGAAAUUGCAUUUUACGUGCUGAAGAAAGCGGAAGAGGAGUUCGAUUUCCAGACGUGCAGGGGCCUAAUUUUAUUAUGUGAGGUGGGUUUUUUCAAAGGGGUUUUGAAGAUACUCGAGAAGGACGAGCAAAAUUCUAUGGGGUGGGACUGGAAGAGGUUUUUAAGGUAUUUUUUGAAGCUAAAAGAAAAGAAUGGCCAAUUGAGAAGCUGAGGAAGUUUGAGGUCCCCAAAGCUCCAAAAUAUAUUUUCCUAUCAUUUGUCUAAUGGGACAUGCACCAAUACACUCUACCAGCACUCUUAUGUAACCUGUCUUGCUGCAGCAGAAAAAAAAUGGCUCAAAGGAGAAUAUAUAUUCCUUACAACAACAAAACAAGGAAAUUUACAAAAGCUAUGCCAAGAAAAUAUGGUAACAUCCAUAGAUUUGUUGUAGAAAAACUCAACUUCGCCCAAUCAAGUCGACCUGAUCAUAUACCAUCAAGACUUGGGGAAAAAAAUCAAUUUAGUCAAGACUUGAAAGAAACUCGACUUGACUCAACAAAAUGAGGAAAGUUCACUGGUGCCCAUUUAGUGGACUGACACGAUUUCCACCGUCGUUUGAGUAAGUGUCGUUGCCCAUCUGUAUUAGUUCAUAUUUCCAUUAUUGCCUACUUAUGAUUUUUUUUUUCUCUCCACCACGCAUGAAUCUUUUGAUGCUCAAAACCAUUUAUUUGUAGGUUACCACACACAUCCUAACAAUCCAAUUAUUUGCUCGUCGUGAAGCUGAUAGUAAGAGGCAUAACAUUGUUGUCAUUUUUGAAAAUAAGGGGUAGUUGUUCAUACAGAAAUCGUUUGCCGCAAUCAAAAUACAGAAAUCAUCAUCAUCCUCCAUGGCAUGACCCAUCCACCUCCACAUGGCAUAAAUGUAUAUAUGGAGAUUCUUACAUGCAACCUGAACCAUCCAAAUCAUGAGGACUCUUUUCAAUCCUGGAUUUCAAAUCCUCAAAAGGGCCUCUUUUAAAAUUCAAGAGAAAAGGAGUGCAGAAAAUCCUGAAUUUUCAAUCCUCUUCAACUGUCAUCAUUGAAGAUUAUUGGUUGGUUCUUGUUUUAGUGCUCUUUUACAGUUUUAGUGCUCUUAUCCAUGAGCUGGAUUUCAUAAUGCAUUGAAGAUUAUUGGCUGGUUCUUGUUUUUCUUUUUUACAGUUUUAGUGCUCUUUUACACAAUAAAACAAUGUUAGUCUUUUUGUGAGUAAAUCUCCGCAUCCUUAUAAAUUUUUUGUGUUGGUUAUUAGGUCUCACAAUUUGUCAUUCAUGUAUAAGGUUUGCAUAUUAUGGAUAUAGUUGUCAAUUUCUGCAGGAUCAUUUAUGGAGAUAUUAGACAAUUCAUAUGUAAAAUGCAAGUUGGCUUUGGGAUCUACAGUAAACGUGCAUAACUGGGACCUACAGUAAAUGUGCCACUAUAAAGAAAACACCACAAUCCAUCUGAUGCUUCUAAGCAUACAUGAUUUAGAAAAGACCAUAGAAUGGAAGAUUGUUGUGGCAUGACUUGAAGAAAGGCGAUUUCUAUCAUCUAGUGGGAACUCCAAAGUCCUUUCACUUAUCAUCUAAGUCUUGUCAUCCAACAAUAUGAUUCAAGCAUUUGAAAUUAUGGCAAUUGCUGUGGUAGGGAACAACCUCAUAUGUUUGUCUUUUCAGCCUUCAGACUUUUACUGCAUGUCUGUCUUCAAUUAGUUGGGUUUCCGAUGGUGCUAUGUAGCUUAUAAUUUUCUACUAUCAUUUCGAAUUAUCUGCCAUAGUGUUCUUGCACCUGCAAGUUAUGACAAAAAUCUGGAUUGCAUGUGGUUGUAUUACUGAAGAAGUCUUCCGAGUCAAAGCCUAAACAAUUUGGGAUAUAAGAUUUUCCGCUUUGCUAUGAAAAUGUUGUGCAUUAGUGAUGUAUAAUUUCCAUUAUUGGAUGGUAUUAACGAGAUGGUCGUUCAUUAGUUUGACAGGUGUCCUUUGUUUGUGCAGCUAUGACUUAAAUAGUACCUAACCAUCCCAUUUUAUAGGCUAUUUGUUGGAUGAUUAGAAUAUUUGAUUUGUGUGUUUUUGAAGUGUGGUCCAUUGUAGCGAAAUGACACACUGUACAGAUGGAGUACAAAAGCCUUGCGAGCAUAUAGGUUUUGGUUUAUAACAACUUAAAGAUUUAGCUUAAUCAUCGCAGGGCAGAAUUCAUGGGUUGUGGCCGCGAGCAUGUUGUAAAGUUUAAGUGGUCUAGUAUGGAAGUUCUUCUUCAUCAGACUGAUGCCCAUGCCUCUGAAAGAUUUGGAUUUUAGGUACAUGGAAAAUGUUUGUAUAUGUCUGGACACUGAUAGCAUAGUAGUUAGAAUUUACAAACCAAGUCAGUUUGCUUUGCCCCCAAACUUUGUAAUGCCCUUUUGUUAAAUC